UACGAAGGGGGCUAGCGUUGCUCGGAAUCACUGGGCGUAAAGCGCACGUAGGCGGCUUUUUAAGUCAGAGGUGAAAUCCUGGAGCUCAACUCCAGAACUGCCUUUGAUACUGAGAAGCUUGAGUCCGGGAGAGGUGAGUGGAACUGCGAGUGUAGAGGUGAAAUUCGUAGAUAUUAGGAAGAACACCAGUGGCGAAGGCGGCUCACUGGCCCGGUACUGACGCUGAGGCGCGAAAGCGUGGGGAGCAAACAGG
rnacentral:rRNA from 1 species